rnacentral:rRNA from 1 species
UGGGGAAUAUUGGGCAAUGGGCGAAAGCCUGACCCAGCAACGCCGCGUGAAGGAAGAAGGCUUUCGGGUUGUAAACUUCUUUUAAGAGGGACGAAACAAAUGACGGUACCUCUUGAAUAAGCCACGGCUAACUACGUGCCAGCAGCCGCGGUAAUACGUAGGUGGCGAGCGUUAUCCGGAUUUACUGGGUGUAAAGGGCGUGUAGGCGGGAAUGCAAGUCAGAUGUGAAAACUAUGGGCUUAACCCAUAGCGUGCAUUUGAAACUGUGUUUCUUGAGUGAUGGAGAGGCAGGCGGAAUUCCGUGUGUAGCGGUGAAAUGCGUAGAUAUACGGAGGAACACCAGUGGCGAAGGCGGCCUGCUGGACAUUAACUGACGCUGAGGCGCGAAAGCGUGGGGAGCAAACAGGAUUAGAUACCCCCGUAGUCC